ensembl:lncRNA
CUAGAAUCUCAGUGUAAGUUUCUUAUUUAAAUAUCGUGUAUCAUAGGAAUAUGUAUAUAUAUCAUUCAAAGAAGAGAAAACAAAGUUAAUACUAGUAAAAAUCAAUGAACUUUUUUGAGAGGAGUGUGUUUAUAUCUUUUUAAGACAUUUAUAAAACAGUGUUCAGAAAUGGUCAGAUUACUGCCAUGGGUUGAAGAAGUCUAAAAAACCACAGCAAUCUGCAUAAAGAUACUGUGAUACGUUCCGUCUGCCGCUGAAGAAGGUACAAGGAUCUAGGACUCACCUGAGGUUUUCAACAGGGAAAGGAUUACCUUCUUAACCAGCAGCACUCCAGCUGUUUUGGCCCAUAUUCCUCAAGAUCACAAACUAAACCAGGGGUGCUAUAGCCCAGACUCCCUACAAAAUCAACUUAUUUGAUGAGUUCAUCUGCAAUGGUGUUUUCUGGACAAAUAACAUGACUCUGAAGAUCAAUGACAUAUCUGCAAGGUACUCUAAGAAUUAUGUAUUACCUAUACAACAUGUACACAACCUCUAUGUACAAAUCGUUUUCUUCAGGACAACUGAGCAAGAGGACACAGUUAAAGACAACAUAAAUUUAGAAGCAAGACAAAGUGUUAACAAGAAAAAUUAUAAGGAAAGAAACAUUAUUUCUGAAGGUUUUCUGUUGCAUUUUAUGCAACAAUUUCUGAUAAAUAAACAAUAGGAGGUUAAUUUCAAAUUCUUUCACGAUGUGUUAAAUCUUCUCAAAUUUUCCUUAUGUGGCCAUAAUGAAAGUAACUUAAAUAAUCCCUGCAUAACAUAUGUUGGAAACUUCUGUUAAUAAUCAAAAAUUAGCCUGGUGUUGCAGGUGUUCGAUGUUUGCAACUUCUCUGAAUAUAAGCCCUCAUCAGCAGCUAGAAGGAUGCCUUAAUUGCUUUUCAGUCUCUCAUAUGAUCAUUCUGUCUACUGAAUAAAACAGACGAAAAACAACAAAAAUUAAGAUUGUUAAAGAUUAAAAAAAAUGCUGAGUAACCACUUUAAUAUUUGCCACAUUUCUUACUUGAACUCAACUCAAUGCCUAUAAAGAUUUCAGCUUUGUGUUGUUGCUGUUGAUGCUGGUUUU